GUUCCUACGGGACGCAGCAGUGGGGAAUCUUCCGCAAUGGGCGCAAGCCUGACGGAGCAAUGCCGCGUGAACGAAGAAGGUCUUCGGAUUGUAAAGUUCUGUCCUUAUCGAAGAGAGGGUAUAGAGUGAAAAAUGAUAUACUAGGACGGUAGAUGAGGAGGAAGCCCCGGCUAACUACGUGCCAGCAGCCGCGGUAAUACGUAGGGGGCGAGCGUUGUCCGGAAUUACUGGGCGUAAAGGGCGCGUAGGUGGGCGCUUAAGUCAGGUGUGAAAACUCCGGGCUCAACCUGGAGACUGCACUUGAA
rnacentral:rRNA from 1 species